rnacentral:lncRNA from 1 species
UUGUAAUCUGAGCUUUAAAAAGUAGAUGAUGACAAAGCACCCCAAGAGAAGCUUAAGAAUUAAUGCAAAUAUUGAUCAGUUAUUUGGGGAUAAUGUGUUGCUCCAUCAAUAGUAAUAAAAGGCAGGUAAAGAUUGAUAAAAUGACAAGAAAGUUUCUUGAGGAAAGCAUGCAUACAGAUCCAUUUUUAAUUUUAGAGAUAUAGUAAUCCAUUUUCAUGUUAGUGCGCAAUAUGUUGUGGCUGAGGGAAAUGCUGUUAUGAUUAGUAGUUUAUGCAAGCAUUCUCAGCAAAAUGAAUUGAUUUCCUUACUUAUUUGAUUUGUGACCUUUGGAAUGCCUCAUGUUUUAUCUUUAAACAGGGCUUCAGAAUCAACUUUGGAAUAAUAGUUGGCACCUGGAACAGUAGGAAAAAUUGGGACUAUUUUUCACUGCAGAGAUCAUGACACCAUAUUUAUAAUUUAUUUUAUGAUUUAUAUUAUUAUUUUAGUGUUUACUAGCUAUGCCCGGCCCCGCAUUGCUGUGGUGAAGUAUGCUGGUAUGGGAAAUAAAGUAUUGAGGAAUUGGUGUAGUCAAGGUAAAGGGUAAAGGUUUUCCCCUGACAUUAAGUCCAGUCGUGUCUGACUCUGGGGGUUGGUGCUCAUCUCCAUUUCUAAGCCAAAGAGCCGGCGUUGUCCGUAGACACCUCCAAGGUCAUGUGGGAUGACUGUAUGGAGCACCGUUAUCUUCCUGCUGGAGCAGUACCUAUUAAUCUACUCUCAUUUGCAUGUUUUUGAACUUUAGGGUUGGCAGAAGCUGGGGCUAACAGUGGGGGCUCUCUCCACUCCCCCAAUUCAAACCUGCCACCUUUCGGUCCAGAAGUUCAGCAGCUCAGCGCUUUAACAUGCUGCGCCAUCAGGGGAUAUUAUUUCCUAAAGGUUGUGAAUAUACAAUAUUAUUCCUCUCCCUCUAAUUAGGACUUUAUUUUUCUUUUCUUUUUGUUGUAUCAACCUAGAGGCGGGGAUGAUGGGUUGUGUUGUCAGAUUUCGAGGUUGGGGGGCCUGUAGUUUUGUUGUUUUGUCGGUCGCUGGGAUUCCAUCACUCUUUUAUACAAGGGCUAUCCAGAAAGUAGGGUACGUUUUGGACAGCCCUCGUAUAUAUAGAUUUAAAAAAAACGAAACAGUGCAUCUGCAAAAAGUGAACCAUGAAGCAGCGAGGGAACACUGUAUUGAAAAGUAAUCUGGUAAUGAUAAUCUUUAAAUUUAUUAUGUGUAAAAUUAAUGCAUGGUCAUUUUACAUAGGAAACUACAGUAGAGUCUCACUUAUCCAACACUCGCUUAUCCAACGUUCUGGAUUAUCCAACGCAUUUUUGUAGUGAAUGUUUUCAAAAUAUCGUGAUAUUUUGGUGCUAAAUUCAUAAAUACAGUAAUUACUACAUAGCAUUACUGCGUAUUGAUCUACUUUUUCUGUCAAAUUUGUUGUAUAACAUGAUGUUUUGGUGCUUAAUUUGAAAAAUCAUAACCUAUAUUGAUGUUUAAUAGGCUUUUCCUUAAUCUCUCCUUAUUAUCCAACAUAUUCGCUUCUCCAACAUUCUGCCAGCCCGUUUAUGUUGGAUAAGCGAGGCUCUACUGUAUAUGGAAAUAUGUGUUUCUCAAAAAAUGCUACUUUCCCUGUACAUUAAAUUCUGCAGUUGGAGACUUAUUCAUCUG